rnacentral:rRNA from 1 species
GACAGAGGAUGCAAGCGUUAUCCGGAAUGAUUGGGCGUAAAGCGUCUGUAGGUGGCUUUUCAAGUCCGCCGUCAAAUCCCAGGGCUCAACCCUGGACAGGCGGUGGAAACUGCCAAGCUGGAGUACGGUAGGGGCAGAGGGAAUUUCCGGUGGAGCGGUGAAAUGCGUAGAGAUCGGAAAGAACACCAACGGCGAAAGCACUCUGCUGGGCCGACACUGACACUGAGGCGCGAAAGCCAGGGGAGCGAACGGG